rnacentral:rRNA from 1 species
GUUAGGACUAGUAACACAGAAUUUUUCUCUUAUAUGUGAGUAUAUAUCAGCCUGGAUACUCCACUGAUAAUUACCCAGUUCUGAGCAUAGAGUAAUAUUGACAUUCCAUGAAAACAUUAYUUAUACCACUGUUAACCUUACACAAGAACAUAAAAGAAAGAUAAAAAGCUUAAGAAGGAACUCGGCAAACACAAAUCCCGCCUGUUUACCAAAAACAUCGCCUUUUGAAUUAUAUAAAAGGUAACGCCUGCCCAGUGACAUCAUGUUCAACGGCCGCGGUAUUCUGACCGUGCGAAGGUAGCGUAAUCACUUGUCUUUUAAAUAAAGACUAGUAUGAAUGGCACUACGAGGAUUUAGCUGUCUCCUUAAGCUCAUCAGUGAAACUGAUCUCCCCGUGCAAAAGCGGGGAUAAAUUCAUAAGACGAGAAGACCCUAUGGAGCUUAAAACUAAUAGCCGCCUAUGCUAUCUGCUAACAUAAAUAGCACUAUGACAAUAAACCCGGCCUACGUUUUCAGUUGGGGUGACUAUGGAGAAAAACCCAUCCUCCAUGAAGAAACAAGCCCUGAGUUACCACUCUACGCAUUAGCAAGCCUGACUUUACUUGAUCCAAU